rnacentral:lncRNA from 1 species
UAGAUGUACUUUACCUUCUAAUUUUGAUUGUACUUAUUGUUAUGCUUUAGGUUAUAAUGCUGGAUUAUUAAUAGAUCAUAAAAAAACAGGUUAUAUGUCUAUUAUUCAAAAUUUACAUGAUAUUUAUGAGAAUUGGAUACCUGGAGGCAUACCAUUUUUAAGGAUGAUGCAUGUAAAUAAAGACAAUGCAGGUAAUAAAUUUCCUGCAGUUAAACGUUAUUUAGUAGAUUUAGAUAGUCCUUUAGUUAAUGUAUUGAAUGAGGUUCGUUCUAUUUGGGCUUUAUAUGAUUUAUAUAGAUCUCCAGGUCCAAUUCAGUUUAAUGGAUAUUUGAGUAAUUCACGAUGUUAUACUGUAAAAGUACCUACAAAAGAUAUAUUAUUAUGUCGAAAUAAUGAUGAUUUACAAUUAAUUAUUAAUUCUACAAAUCAGGAUUUGGAGAAUCUAAAACGAGCAUCGUCUGUUGAAGAGUGUGAUAGUGAAUAUACCGCGACGAAUAAUGGUAUUUGUGAUAGUUCCGGAUUAAGUGACAUUUGUUACGGAUUAAAUUCAUCUAAUGAAACAAUAUUAAAUUAUAAUUUAAAUUUAUCUACAUGUGAUAAGAAAGAAAUAUAUGAAAAGAAUAGUACAUGUUACAAAUCGCUAGGUUGUAUGUCCGAAUUGCAAACAGCAAGAUUGUAUAGUCGAAUUGAGUUGCCAGAAUUAUGUACCGAUUUGAAAGCGAAAGUAAGAGCAGGUAAACAGUACAUAUCAAAUGAUCCAUAUACACAGAAACAGAUUUUAUCGAAUUAUCCUCAUCUUGCACAUGAAAAUAAAUUUCAAAUUCAAGAAGUGUUUCAUGACAAGAAUGCAAUUCCUGUUACAUUUGAAAUAAAGAUAGGUAUUGUUUUUUUAUCUAGACAAGCGCCUGGUGCAAUGAAUGUAUUGUGUGGUUUAUAUAACAGAUUAAAGUUGUUAAAUGGAGUAUGUAUUGCAUUUUAUGGAUUAUACGGUUUAUUGAAUAAUAAAUAUGUAAUUAUUAACGAUGAAAAUAUAGCGAAACAUAUUAAUCAAGGUGGUUUAGAGUUAACUGGUAAUUCACCUGAACAUUCACUUUUUGAUAAAGAAAAUAGAAAUAAGGUAUGUAAAACAGUAACAAACUUACAAUUGAAUGGUUUAGUUAUGCCAGGUUCUAAUAUAACAAUAACAGAAGCUUCUUUAUUAGCAGAAUAUUUUUUGGAAAAAAAAAUACCAACUUGUGUAGUUGGUAUUCCUUUAACAGGUUCAAACAAUUUAAUACAUGAAUUGAUUGAAACAUGUGUUGGUUUUGAUAGUAGUACAAAAGUAUAUGCUUCACUUAUUGGUAAUGUAUUAACAGAUGCAGUAAGUAUGCCCAAGUAUUGGCAUUUCAUACGUUUGAUGGGAAGAAGUCCAUCACAUGAAGUACUAGAAUGUGCAUUACAAACCCAUCCAAAUGUAGUUAUCAUUGCUGAAGAAUAUGGAGCAGCAGAUAAAACUUUAUGGAGGGUAGUACAAGAUAUAGCAGAUGUAGUUUGUGCUAGAGCUGAACUAGGGAAAAAUUAUGGUACUAUUUUAAUUCCUGAUGCUUUAUUUAUGCAUUUACCACAUAUGAAAAUAUUAUUGACAGAGAUAAGUGACAUAUUAAACGAAGCAUCAGAAAAAGGUGAAUUAGAAGAGGCACAAAGUGAAUUAGUAAAUUUAUCUAUAAAUGAUAAAAAAAUAUUAUCUACUGACCCAAAUGGUACUAUUUCGUUUAUUAAUAAUCCAAAAUCAUCACAGUGGAUAUCUAAAUUAACACCCUGGAGUUCAGCUUUAUUAAAAACAUUUCCUGAAUUUAUAAUAAAAGAAUUGUUACAAGUAGAUUUAAGAUCUAUGCGUUUUGAAAAACUAGAAACAGAGCAAUUAUUAUUACAAAUGGUAAAGGAAGAAUUACAUCAGAGAAAGGAGAAAGGAAAAUAUGUAGGUAGUUUUAUGGGAUUAACACAUUUUUUUGGAUAUCAAGGACGUUCUUCUUUACCAUCAGAAUUUGAUUGUAAGUUAGCAUAUGCAUAUGGUCAUGCUGCUUCUAUUGUUGUAGAAUGUAAUUUAACAGGUUAUAUAGUUUCAAUUAGAGGUUUAUGUGGUGCUGUAAAUGAUUGGAAAUUGUUUGCUAUACCUUUAAUAUCUUUAAUGAAGAUAUUACCAAAAGGUCAAGGAAAUAAACAUUUGAAAGGUGCAUCGAAAGGGGAUUUACCAGUUAUACCUAGUGCACCUGUAGAUUUAAAUGGGAAA